rnacentral:rRNA from 1 species
GAUGAACGCUGGCGGCGUGCCUAAUACAUGCAAGUCGAGCGAACAGACGAGGAGCUUGCUCCUCUGACGUUAGCGGCGGACGGGUGAGUAACACGUGGAUAACCUACCUAUAAGACUGGGAUAACUUCGGGAAACCGGAGCUAGUACCGGAUAAUAUGUUGAAUCGCAUGGUUCAACAGUGGAAGACGGUCUUGCUGUCACUUAUAGAUGGAUCCGCGCCGCAUUAGCUAGUUGGUAAGGUAACGGCUUACCAAGGCAACGAUGCGUAGCCGACCUGAGAGGGUGAUCGGCCACACUGGAACUGAGACACGGUCCAGACUCCUACGGGAGGCAGCAGUAGGGAAUCUUCCGCAAUGGGCGAAAGCCUGACGGAGCAACGCCGCGUGAGUGAAGAAGGUCUUCGGAUCGUAAAACUCUGUUAUUAGGGAAGAACAAAUGUGUAAGUAACUAUGCACGUCUUGACGGUACCUAAUCAGAAAGCCACGGCUAACUACGUG